rnacentral:rRNA from 1 species
CAGCCGCCGCGGUAAUACGUAGGGUGCGAGCGUUAAUCGGAUUUACUGGGCGUAAAGCGUGCGCAGGCGGCCCGUUAAGACAGGUGUGAAAUCCCUGGGCUCAACCUAGGAAUUGCGCUUGUGACUGGCGGGCUCGAGUACGGUAGAGGGGGGUGGAAUUCCUGGUGUAGCAGUGAAAUGCGUAGAGAUCAGGAGGAACACCGAUGGCGAAGGCAGCCCCCUGGGCCUGUACUGACGCUCAUGCACGAAAGCGGGGGGAGCAAACAGGAUUAGAUACCCUGGUAGUCCACGCCCUAAACGAUGGGUACUAGCCGUUUGGUGCGCGAUAGCGCUGAGUGGCGAAGCUAACGCGAGAAGUACCCCGCCUGGGGAGUACGGCCGCAAGGUUGAAACUUAAAGGAAUUGGCGGG